rnacentral:lncRNA from 1 species
UAAUAUGCCUAGAAAAUCCUGGACAACACAGUCUACGAAUAUCCAAGGACCCAGAAUUUCAUUGCUUAAAAGUUCAGCGAAUUGAUGAAUUCAAAAGAAAGAAGGGAGAAAAGAAGCCUUGGAUGUGAGCCAGGUGGAGGAGAACUGAAGAAGUCUGUCAGCAAGCCCUCAGCCCUCUGAGUACUCCUGAUAAUCCCAGGAAUGACUCCAAAGCACCCUGUGGGCAUUGCCCUCCCUGGACUGAAGGG